CUACGGGAGGCAGCAGUAGGGAAUAUUGGACAAUGGGCGAAAGCCUGAUCCAGCAAUGCCGCGUGUGUGAAGAAGGCCUGAGGGUUGUAAAGCACUUUUAGUGGUGAGGAGAGACAUGAGUUUAAGAGAUACAUGUUGAGACGUUAACCAAAGAAAAAGCACCGGCUAACUCCGUGCCAGCAGCCGCGGUAAUACGGAGGGUGCAAGCGUUAAUCGGAUUGAUUGGACGUAAAGGGCGCGUAGGUGGUUUACUAAGUGAGUUGUGAAAUCCAUGGGCUUAACCUGUGGCUGUCAACUCAAACGGGUAGACUAGAGUACAGUAGAGGGUUGUGGAAUUUCCGGUGUAGCGGUGAAAUGCGUAGAGAUCGGAAGGAACACCAGUGGCGAAGGCGACAACCUGGGCUGAAACUGACACUGAGGCGCGAAAGCGUGGGGAGCAAACAGGAUUAGAAACCCCGGUAGUCC
rnacentral:rRNA from 1 species